GAGAAAAAGGAUUAUUGUCUUUGUCUUGAUGUAAAAUAUGAAAUAAUAAAAUCAUUGAUGGUUCUAAAAACUAAAAAUAUCAAUGGAGUGUUUAAUACAUAUAUUUACAUAUAUAAUAAUGGUGCACGUAUUAACCAGGAUGAGACACCGAAAGUUGAUGGCAAAUGUUAUGUAAAAGUAUCAUUUGAAUCAAAUGGAAUUGGAUGAUGUUCAACUAUUAUGGAUAUACUGAGAAUAUAUUUAGAAUUCAGUGGGAAACAUUUAGAGUAAUUAAAUGUUGGAAGAAAAGAAGAUAUUAUCAAUAUUAUGAAAUUUUACAAUAUUUUUAUAUUUUUUUGUAUAAAUUAAAAUUUUAAAUUGUAUUUGAAUAUAUUUGUAUUAUGUUUAUGUCAUACAAAUCAUGUAUUUUUAUGUUUACCAAUGUCAAUGAUUGAUCUAAAGAUAUUACAUCUUAUUGUUUAAAAAAAAAAAAUCAAAAUUUUAUUGAGAUAAAGUCUUACAUUAGUGAUAUAUAUGUAGCAAAAUUAUAAUUAUAGUGAUUUUAUGUAGUUAUUUAUGAUUAUGUCUUUAAAAUCAUAUUUUUGUUAGAUUACUUUAAACAUUUUUUUUGGAAAAAUUCAAAUUUGUAUUGAGACAAAAUAUCGCAUUGAUUAUAUAUAUGAAAAGAAAUUAUAUUUAGUGAUGGUAUAUAUUUUGACUAUUAAUUUUUGAUGAAAUAUUUAUCAUUAUGUUUUAUUAACACCUGAUGUGUUGGAAGAUAAAUAUGGAGAAGUUGAGAGUAAUGAUGACUAAGAGCUAUGACUCAAAUGAAAGGAUUGAAAAGAUUAUGGCAAAAUGAUAUCCAAUAAAUGAUGAGAAUUGAAAUGAAGGGGAAAGAUUAUAUGAACAUGAAUUGAAUAUUAUAAAUUAAAUUGAAAAAUAUUUUUGGAUAAUGUAACACGUGGUUUUUGAAGGGUGGGCGUGUUGUGAUUUUGUACGUUUAAGUUAUAUAUAUAUAUAUAUGAAAUGUCAGUUAACUUUCACGUUAUAUGUAUUUAUACAUAUAUAUAAUUAUAUACAAAAUGUCAAUCAAAAGGGGAUUUGA